rnacentral:rRNA from 1 species
UACGGAGGAUCCGAGCGUUAUCCGGAUUUAUUGGGUUUAAAGGGUGCGCAGGCGGGAGAUUAAGUCGGCGGUGAAAUUUUGCAGCUCAACUGUAAAAGUGCCUUCGAAACUGGUUUCCUUGAGUGUAGAUGAAGUAGGCGGAAUUUGUGGUGUAGCGGUGAAAUGCAUAGAUAUCACGAGGAACUCCGAUUGCGAAGGCAGCUUACUAAUCCAUCAUUGACGCUGAGGCACGAAAGCGUGGGGAGCAAACAGGAUUAGAUACCCU